GGAACACUGGAGAGGCCGUGUGCGGCUGGAGCACAGGGAAAACUGUAAGUCUCCAGUGAGAGGAAAGCCCAAAUAUUCUGAGCUGUUUGGAAGCUGAUGAGCUACUGUGCAUAUAAAUUUGUUCUAUGCCAUGGAUAGAGCUCUCUGACACAGCAAAGCAAGAGUGAAGAUUUGGUCCAGCACAGAAGGGACCUAUCCAUGACAACCCAACUGAUUUCAAUAGACAUUUGGCAAGAAAAUCUCUGCAUGUGACUUUGCAAGUUUUCUCUCUCUCUCUCGAAGGACAGCCAUUAAU